rnacentral:lncRNA from 1 species
AAUGAACUAGAUCUGCGUUGCAAACAAGAAACACUAGAACUUCUUUAAUAAAAGAAGAAAAGGGAUAAAAUCUCUAAAAAAAACAAAGUCAAGAAGCAGUGGGCCUUCUCUAGGAUUAAUUUUUUUUUCUAUUUUUAAACACCGAUUUCGUAUUUUCUAUAUAAAAAAUUCCACAGACGGUUGACAUAAAUGAACCGUGUCUGUGGAAAUGCAUUUUCACUAACGGUUCUCAGUUAUGCGCCUGUGGAAAAAUUUAUUUCCACAGGCACCCAACAUAGGCGGUUCGCCAAUCCAUCUGUGGAAACGAGUUGAGAACCGCCUAUGCAGUGGUUUCUGUAUACUAGUGUAAAAAAAAAAUAAAGUCAAGAAGCAGUUAAAAAAUCAUCGUGAGCAUGCAUGCAUGGCUAGCAUGAAAGUCACGAUGAACUUGCGAGGCACACGAAAGCAUCAUGUUCCGCACCUGCUGAAGUAUCACACAAUACUUAUCAACUAUUCAACCAUCACUACUACAAUAAUCUUUACCGAGGCAAGCAAGAUCAAUUAACCGAGGCGAUUUUCGCAACCGCCUCGGAUCAAAGGUCAUAGCAAAUGACCUAUUUUCGAGGCGGUUUAUUGUCCGCCUCGGUUAAUCAAAUAAAAAAGAAAAAAAAUCCUUGAACAAGCCCGAUGAGCCCAUCGACGUGCCGCCAUCACCGCUGGUGCUCGCCGAUGAGACCUUUGGACCUGCUUGUCUGUCACGGUCGCAUUGAAUAUGGGGGGAAGAGACACUUGGAGGGGAGGGGAAUAGCCUAUCGGAGAAGAGGCAGCCGGCCUAGAUCCCGUCAUCAUCCCUCGUCGGAUCCGGUCUUCCUUUGUUGGAUGCACCUCCCACCCACUGGGUCUGGAGCUCAACGUGGAGGAUCUCGCCGGAUCCACCACCUGCCUGCCGGAGGGAGCUCAUUGGAGGUUGGGGCAUCGAGUGGGAAGGAACGAGCCGCCGCCACUCAGAAGGAAGGGAGGUAGGCAUAGCCGCCGCUACUCAGAAGGGAGGAAGCCGCCGUCGUUGC